AACGAACGCUGGCGGCGCGCCUAAUACAUGCAAGUCGAGCGAGAAGGUGUAGCAAUACACUUGUAAAGCGGCGAACGGGUGAGGAAUGCAUGGGUAACCUACCCUCGAGUGGGGAAUAACUAGCCGAAAGGUUAGCUAAUACCGCAUACGUUUCCGGAACUUCGGUUUCGGAAAGAAAGCAAUACCGUGGGUAUUGCGCUCCUGGAUGGGCUCAUGUCCUAUCAGCUUGUUGGUGAGGUAACGGCUCACCAAGGCUUCGACGGGUAGCUGGUCUGAGAGGACGAUCAGCCACACUGGCACUGCGACACGGGCCAGACUCCUACGGGAGGCAGCAGUAAGGAAUAUUGCGCAAUGGACGAAAGUCUGACGCAGCGACGCCGCGUGGGGGGAUGAAGGUCUUCGGGAUUGUAAACCCCCUUUCGGGAGGGAAGAUGGAGUGGGUAACCACUUGGACGGUACCUCCAGAAGCAGCCACGGCUAACUUCGUGCCAGCAGCCGCGGUAAU
rnacentral:rRNA from 1 species